ACCAAGGCGAUGAUGCAUAGCCCGAGUUGAGAGACUGAUCGGGCCACAUUGGGGACUGAGACACGGGGCCCAAACUCCUACGGGGGGAGGGGGCAGCAGUAGGGGGAAGUCUUCCACAAUGGACGCAAGUCUGAUGGAGCAACGCCGCGUGAGUGAAGAAGGUUUUUCGGAUACGUAAAGCUCUGUUGUUGGUGAAGAAGGAUAGAGGUAGUAACUGGCCUUUAUUUGACGGUAAUCAACCAGAAAGUCACGGCUAACUACGUGCCAGCAGCCGCGGUAAU
rnacentral:rRNA from 1 species